rnacentral:tRNA from 5 species
GGCUCCUUGGUCAAGCGGUUAAGACAUCGCCCUUUCACGGCGGUAACACGAGUUCGAUUCUCGUAGGAGUCA